UACGUAGGGUGCAAGCGUUAAUCGGAAUUACUGGGCGUAAAGCGUGCGCAGGCGGCUUUGCAAGACAGAUGUGAAAUCCCCGGGCUCAACCUGGGAACUGCAUUUGUGACUGCAUGGCUGGAGUGCGGCAGAGGGGGAUGGAAUUCCGCGUGUAGCAGUGAAAUGCGUAGAUAUGCGGAGGAACACCGAUGGCGAAGGCAAUCCCCUGGGCCUGCACUGACGCUCAUGCACGAAAGCGUGGGGAGCAAACAGGG
rnacentral:rRNA from 1 species